UACGUAGGGUGCAAGCGUUAAUCGGAAUUACUGGGCGUAAAGCGUGCGCAGGCGGUCUUGCAAGACAGGUGUGAAAUCCCCGGGCUUAACCUGGGAACUGCACUUGUGACUGCAAGGCUGGAGUACGGCAGAGGGGGAUGGAAUUCCGCGUGUAGCAGUGAAAUGCGUAGAUAUGCGGAGGAACACCGAUGGCGAAGGCAAUCCCCUGGGCCUGCACUGACGCUCAUGCACGAAAGCGUGGGGAGCAAACAGG
rnacentral:rRNA from 1 species